AAACUGCAAUAAAACAAUAGCAACUUUAUUUUCCAUUAGAUAAACAUGUAGAACACAGACAUACAACAGUUAGACUUUCCAUAACUAUUUUAGGAACAAUUUGGUUUUUCGUUCUUACAAACACAUUUCUUUUGAACUUGCCCAACGUUCUCAGUUUCUCAAUGCUCAACAUUUUCUAUUUUGUCCACAUGAUGGACAGAAUGUAACUGUGUGCUUUCUGCAGAUGUACUUCUUGCAUUUCUCACAAAAAGUGCUUGUUUUCAAACAGGAACCUUCCUAACUAAGAUUUAAAACAAAGGAUUUCUACGUCUCCUCCAGUCUCACAAACAGAUGACAAACCAAGCGACACACCUGAGUCACUGACUUUCUUAAAUCCACUCACUCUCACUGGCUGUUUAUUACUAAUGACCUGCGGUAGCGCUCUUUCCUAAACUGUGGGUGUAAAAGUCUAUUGCGGAAUGAGCUGCUCAGUACUCAUACAGUGUCAUGCAGGGGGUGGAUGGUGUUGUCCAUGAUGGAUGUUAGCUUAGAUAACAUGCUCUCCUCCCCAACCCGCUCAAUGGACUUCAGCGGACAGUCCAGGACAGACUUAGCCCUCUUGACCAGUUUAUUAAGUUUCCCCCUGUCCCUCUCUGCCAUUCCAACACUCCAGCAGACCACAGCAGAAAAAAUAAGAGAUGCCACCACAGUGUCGUGAAACGUCCUUAGAAGAGUCCUGGAUCUCAGCCGCCGUAGCAGGCUCGGGACCAGCACUCCUGUUGUUGGACAGAAAGACAUCAACUCAGUGACUUGAGAUAUGACUGCACUAGGCUGUUGCUGGUGACUCCAGUUAAUUCUACAAGACAUGCUGUGACAACAGGAGAGAUGAGACCUCCGUCACAGAUGGUGUGGUCACCAUCUGUGACCUGUGCUGCAGGUUCAAGCUCAUUGCAUCUCCAACCCACAUCCACUGCCACUGUACUUAAGGGAAGUUAAAGACUUUCUUCUGCACCUACAUUUGGAUCACCUCGAUCCAUGACAGUCAUUCAGGCAGUAAUGCCUGAACUGGAAACAAGCCAUCCUUAAAAUAUUACAACAUUCCAGCUCAUGUGUUGGAAUGAAAAACAAAUGUGUUGUUUAAAUCAGAGACUGCACUUGUGACAGAACAACAAAUAUUUUAUUUUGAUUAUAUAAGUAAUGUAAGCACAAAACAAACUUGUGGUAGGCCUAAACUUAUUUUCAGAAUAAUUACACCUGAGACUUUGUUCAUUGUAAGAUUAUAACAGUGAUGGCAAUAUAAUUGUUUGUUGUUCAGCAGAACAGUGUCCAGUAUGUUGGCUGUUAUACUUUGUUGUGCUUGAAAAUAAAAGUUG